rnacentral:rRNA from 1 species
UACAGAGGUCUCGAGCGUUGUUCGGAUUCAUUGGGCGUAAAGGGCGCGUAGGCGGCGGGGUAAGUCGGGUGUGAAAUCUCAGGGCUCAACCCUGAAACUGCACUUGAUACUGCUCUGCUUGAGGACUGGAGAGGAGACUGGAAUUCACGGUGUAGCAGUGAAAUGCGUAGAUAUCGUGAGGAAGACCAGUGGCGAAGGCGGGUCUCUGGACAGUUCCUGACGCUGAGGCGCGAAGGCCAGGGGAGCAAACGGG